rnacentral:rRNA from 1 species
GACGAACGCUGGCGGCGUGGAUUAGGCAUGCAAGUCGAACGGUAGGAUACCUUCGGGUAUCUGAGAGUGGCGAACGGGUGAGUAACACGUAGGUGAUCUACCCUCAAGAUUGGGACAACCCAGGGAAACUUGGGCUAAUACCGGAUGAAAGCAGCAGUGAUGUUGUUUGAAAGGUGGCGUAAGCUGCCGUUUGGGGAUGAGCCUGCGCUCUAUUAGUUAGUUGGCGGGGUAAAGGCCCACCAAGGCGAUGAUAGAUAGGCGGCCUUAACGGGUGGUCGCCCACACUGGGAUUGAGAUGCGGCCCAGACUCCUACGGGAGGCAGCAGUCGAGAAUAGUCUACAAUGGCCGAAAGGCUGAUAGUGCGACGCCGCGUGAACGAAGAAGCCCUUCGGGUGUAAAGUUCUUUUAUAUGUGAGCAGUGCUUUCUAUGUGAACAGCAUGGGGAGAGAGAUAUUAGCAUAUGAAUAAGCAACGGCUAACUCCGUGCCAGCA